UACGUAGGGUGCAAGCGUUAUCCGGAAUUAUUGGGCGUAAAGAGCUCGUAGGCGGUUUGUCGCGUCUGCCGUGAAAGUCCGGGGCUCAACUCCGGGAUCUGCGGUGGGUACGGGCAGACUAGAGUGAUGUAGGGGAGACUGGAAUUCCUGGUGUAGCGGUGAAAUGCGCAGAUAUCAGGAGGAACACCGAUGGCGAAGGCAGGUCUCGUGGGCAUUAACUGACGCUGAGGGGCGAAAGCAUGGGGAGCGAACAGG
rnacentral:rRNA from 1 species